rnacentral:lncRNA from 1 species
UGAGCAUUUAAAACUGUCUCUCUGAGAAGAGAGCAAUAGGCCUCCCACAGCUGGAAGGGUCCAUGUCAUAAAGGCAGUGACAGAGCUGCCUGGUGGGCUGGGCACUUCCUGUCCCUGCCCCAAGGUAGGGGGUCAUGGCAAGGGCUGACUCCAAGGCAGGCUGCUCUGCCCUCGGUCUCUCCUAAGACUCACGGGCAUAGAACUUCAGGCACAAAAGCACAACCCACCAGGCUGGGUGCCCACGAACCAUGGGGAGAGUUGCAGGCCGCAAGCCAGAGCCAAUGCCUAUCCCUGUGGGGACUCUCAGCUCACACACACCCCCUCACUGCCUGGCAGAGGGCCCAGAAGAGCCCCACAGUGGUGGUUGCUUCCUUCCUCACCAGUCACGGGGAUUGUGGCUCCUAUCCCCAAGCUGAGCCUGGGUCACACAGCUCACUGUGCCUGCUGCAGGAGCCCAGAGCCCAGCACCAGCAUGUGACCGGGGGUUUGUGUGCUGACAGCCCUGCUCUUCCUCCUAGUAUCAGCUUCCCAACCAGGGAGCCAAUGAUGUUUGCUUUCCAUGACCGUGAGAAAACGAAGUUCAGUGUAACCGAGGCAAAUGAAGAUAAAGACAUGGGAAGAGCACAUCUAGGGAGGUGGGUGCUGUCGCACUGAUGUGGAUCAGUGUCACCAGGCUGCGGAGGGGACUCUGUUACUCAGAGGUAUUUUUGUUUUACAAAACAUCUUUAAUGCUGUGUAUUGUAAGAAGGGAGAGGGGCAGAGCUGAGUGGAAAAGGAGAGCCAGAUGGAGAGGGAGAAAAGUAAAGUCAGAGAAGUAGACAGAAGGAAGCCCACAGAGAGGGAGAUUCAAGAUGGGCAGAACCAUGUGCAGACAGAGAUGGAGGGAGAGAUGUGGGGCUACACACAGUGCCCUUUGAAAUCAAUCAUUAUCUUGAAAAGGCCACAGGUGAGUACUCAAGAAGCACCUUCCCAGAACACACACUGCACAGUGC